rnacentral:rRNA from 1 species
UCCAGACUCCUACGGGAGGCAGCAGUGGGGGAUAUUGCACAAUGGGGGGAACCCUGAUGCAGCGACGCCGCGUGGGUGAAGGAGCGUUUCGGCGCGUAAAGCCCUAUCGGCAGGGAAGAAGGAGGACGGUACCUGACUAAGAAGCCCCGGCUAACUACGUGCCAGCAGCCGCGGUAAUACGUAGGGGGCAAGCGUUAUCCGGAUUUACUGGGUGUAAAGGGGGCGCAGACGGCGAUGCAAGCCAGGAGUGAAAGCCCGGGGCCCAACCCCGGGACUGCUCUUGGAACUGCGUGGCUGGAGUGCAGGAGGGGCAGGCGGAAUUCCUGGUGUAGCGGUGAAAUGCGUAGAUAUCAGGAGGAACACCGGUGGCGAAGGCGGCCUGCUGGACGACAACUGACGGUGAGGCGCGAAAGCGUGGGGAGCAGACAGGAUUAGAUACCCGGGUAAA